UACGGGGGGGGUAAGCGUUGUUCGGAAUUACUGGGCGUAAAGGGCUCGUAGGCGGCCAACUAAGUCAGACGUGAAAUCCCUCAGCUUAACUGGGGAACUGCGUCUGAUACUGGAUGGCUUGGAUUCGGGAGAGGAAUGCGGAAUUCCAGGUGUAGCGGUGAAAUGCGUAGAUAUCUGGAGGAACACCGGUGGCGAAGGCGGGUCUCUGGGCAAUUCCUGACGCUGAGGCGCGAAAGCGUGGGGAGCAAACAGG
rnacentral:rRNA from 1 species